rnacentral:rRNA from 1 species
AUUGAACGCUGGCGGCAGGCCUAACACAUGCAAGUCGAGCGGAUGAAGGGAGCUUGCUCCUGGAUUCAGCGGCGGACGGGUGAGUAAUGCCUAGGAAUCUGCCUGGUAGUGGGGGAGAACGUCCGGAAACGGGCGCUAAUACCGCAUACGUCCUGAGGGAGAAAGUGGGGGAUCUUCGGACCUCACGCUAUCAGAUGAGCCUAGGUCGGAUUAGCUAGUUGGUGGGGUAAAGUCCUACCAAGGCGACGAUCCGUAACUGGUCUGAGAGGAUGAUCAGUCACACUGGAACUGAGACACGGUCCAUACUCCUACGGGAGGCAGCAGUGGGGAAUAUUGGACAAUGGGCGAAAGCCUGAUCCAGCCAUGCCGCGUGUGUGAAGAAGGUCUUCGGAUUGUAAAGCACUUUAAGUUGGGGGGAAGGGCAGUAAGUUAAUACCUUGCUGUUUUGACGUUACCAACAGAAUAAGCACCGGCUAACUUCGUG